UAUUUCACAAAAUUAUGGAUCACAAUCGUACACUUCUGAAUUCAUAGAAUUUGGGAUGCACAAAACUAUGAGAUAAAAAGUUGUCUUAUACAACUAAUAUAAGUUGUAUGAGACACAACAUAAAAUUUUCCGUCUUCAAAUCAAAAUACCAAAAUAAGGACUAUAUGAGAGUACAUAUGAUGUCUUCCAAGUUAUAAAAAUUGUAGGAACAUUAAAAAAAAUCUAGUGAAGAUAUUGUCACGAUCCAAGCUUUCCCUUCGUAAACUGUCGUAACGACAUCCACUCUUUACCAUUAGGUAAGCCUAACAAUCACGGAAAAAAAUAAAAUGCGAAAAAACUAAUAAAAAUUGAAGAUAAACAAUAUAAAGGCGUCUCGACAUAUACUAAUACAAGAUCUUGAAAACUAAAUAACUUUCCAAAUUCAUAAUAUCAUGAAAUCACAAGCUAAUGAUACUACAUAGUGCUCUAACUCUAGAAUGUCUAAAACAAAGCAAAUAAAUAAGGGAUGUAACUACAAGAGAGAAUGGAGAUAGACUCCUCCCUCUGCGGAUGUAUACUGGUUCACCACACCUUGUGGUUAGUCCAGUCCCCGAAAGACUCUCUCGAGAUUUCCACUAACUUUGUCAAGCUUACGGGUGCUCAACAAACCGUUACAACCUGAGAGCUUGAGUCACACAAGCCUCAGCAAACCGUUAAGUUUACGGGUACCUAAGAAACCGGUACACUUUGAGAACUUAAAUCCCACAAGUCUCAAACAACCUUGCUCGAGGAUACCUCACCCCAAGACUUCACUGUUAAGCUUACGGGUGCCUAACGAACCGUUUAACUUUAAGAGAAAAUCGAUUGUUUGAAAUUUGAUUAGAAAUCUGAAAGUCAACAAUCGAUUGUUGUAUGACCACAAUCGAUUGUGGUUCAUAUUUUCAAAGUAUUUCUGUCAAGCAUUUGAAUUUAACAGAUUUGUGUAAUCAAAAUUUCAACAACUAAAUCCCUGAUUAAAAGGAGUGAUUGACUGAAGAAAAUUUGGUUUAGAAUUUUGAAAUUAACGGAUUUGUAAAUAAUUUUCAACCACCAAAUCUUGACUUUAAGAACAGAAAUAAUUGUGAAAGAUUUUGGGAUUUUGUAACUUCAACAAUCGAUUGUUGCAUGAUGACAAUCGAUUGUCAUUUAAAUUUUCAAAGCAUUUUUAGCAACGGUAAGAAUACAAUCGAUUGUUAGACUAUGACAAUCGAUUGUUAUGUUUUUAUAAAAACUUUGAUAACACAAUACCUCAGGACAAUCGAUUGUUUUGCUUCUUUGAAAAAUUCAUUUAAGCACUGUCUCAUGACAAUCGAUUGUUUACCUCAGACAAUCAAUUGUUGGCCAAUUUGAAAUCAUAUAAUCGAUUGUUUUAUAAAUAUUGAAAGUUCCAGUUUAGGCAGUCUUUAUGACAAUCGAUUGUUGUAGUCCAAAAUUAAAAGACAUGUUUGAAAAACAUUUUGGCUAAAAUGCAACUCAUUUGUUUUAACUUAAAGAUGCAUGAUUUGAUGAAAAAUGAUUUUAUGAGAGAGCCAAUACUAGAAUAUGUCGUUGACAACUCAUUUGUUUUAACUUAAAGAUGCAUGAUUUGAUGAAAAAUGAUUUUAUGAGAGAGCCAAUACUAGAAUAUGUCGUUGAGUCAAGAUCACAAAAUAAAACGACUCAACAAUAAACUCAAUAAUAACUUCAUUGCAAUUCUUGAACUUGCACUGUUUCACUUGUACUUGGACUGUUAUUGUUCCAUCCUCGUUGGUUUGUCAUGGUUUGUCAUUUAUCAAAACCUACAUAAAUCAACACACGUUUAGUUUUGAGAACGUGAUUCAACACAUUCUAUAUCAAUUAAAAGCAUAGAAGGAAUCUAACUCAGUGCACAGAAAUAGCAACAGGGGGACCUCCCGGGAUAUCGUCCCACAGUCCGAAUCAUAAAGAUGCAGGAAAAACUCUCGAAACCAAUAACAGUUUAAGACAAGUAUUCUAAUAAUAGUUCAAGAUCAGUAUUCCCCCUCAAUCUGUGAUUCCCCCCUUAAUAUAUGCAAAUAUAUUAUAUUGUGCAUGCAUAGCCCGUUUUUAUGCAUAGCCCGUUUUCUUCCCCCUUUUGACAUUAACAAAAAGUGCAAGAAGAAACGUUUUAUUAAACUAAAAUUAAGGAGUACAUAAUCAAGAUACCAAAGAUAAACUGGGCAGAAAAUUAAAACAAUUAUAUAAACUGCAACAAGAAAUUUUAUUCAUCAUUGUCUUCGUCUUCCACAUUGUCCGGCGCUGCUUCAUAUGGAACAAGACCAGCAUAUGGAUAAUGAACAUGGUCAAAAUAUCCAUGCAUUUCAUAAGUCAAUUGAUUGACGGAAGUGGUUAGUGAAGCAAGCUGAUCGGAAAUAGAUUGAAGAGUAGGAGUUUGGGUACGACGAGGUGGUUGAGGACGAGGAGCAGGAGGAGCAGCAUGUUCGCCAACAAUGGGAAGGGAAGAUGAUGAAAUUUCCCAAUGUUUGGUUUCUCUUUUUAUCGGACCAUUGGUGGUGUCAAAACUGGUGGCUUGAAGAAUUUUCAUGAUAAGAAAAGCAUAAGGAAGGGGUCUAUCAUCCCCUCUGGCAUCAAGCAUAUGAAUUUUGAUGAAUUUGCACCGGUGAUAAUGGCAUGAAGAAGUUUGGCGUCCUCUUGAGAAAUAGUAGUGUGUCUAUGCUUACGGGGUUUUAGCACACGAGUUAUGAAGUAAAAAAUCAAGCGAUACUCAGGGAGCAUCCCCGUGAUAGUUGGACGACGAGUGGUAAGAUUAGGAUCAAAUGAUCCAAGCCCGAUUUGAUUUAACGGAAUUUGUUCAUCAAACAAUACGCCGUCUUCUCGAAUGUACCUGAAGAUGUUUUCCCCAUUUCGAGGAAGUUGAGAAAUCGUUUCAAGAUUUUGUAUAGAUAAGAUGAUUGGAAUACCAUUGAUGUUUAUAACAAGAUCUCCAUCUUCGUCUUCCUGAAGAUUAGAGUAGAAAGCGCGAAUAAAUGGAGGAUGAAUAUCUGUAUUUUUAAGACACAAAAAAUCAAGAAGUUUGCUUUCCCGAAGCAUAUUGGCAGUAGCUGCGGGUGCGCUUGAUUCAAGGUAUUGAGUUGUAGAGAAACGAGGAGGUUGUAUUUCUCGGUUUUCAAAUUUGUUCAUGAACCGAGCAUACUCCGCUUCGGACUCGAAUUUUAGAUAGGAACCGUCUUGAUAGGGAAAGACAGGAGUAGGAGCAGUAGAGGAGGAGGCAACAUUCUUGCCUUGGCGGGAUCGUUUUUGAUGUCUUGACAUUUUGAUAUGAAUUUUUGAGAGCUAAUUUGGAGAAUUUUUUAAGACAAUUUGAGAGAUUUUUGAAGUUUUGAAUUUGAUUUGAAGUGAUGAAAGUGAAGAGAGCAGCUUCAAUUUAUAGAGUGGUAAGUAGAUGACAUUUAAGGCAGAAAUGAAGUCUGAAAAAUGGUAAUAUUUGAAAAUCUGCCGUUGAACAAUCGAUUGUUGAGCUGUCACAAUCGAUUGUUAUGGAAUAUUUUGAACGGUAUUUUGAGCUGACAAAAAGAUAAUCGAUUGCAGAGUUUUUCAGAAGUCAGAACAGUAAAAUUUUUGAAUAAUGACCGUUUGACAAUCGAUUGCGGAGCCUAAACAAUCGAUUGUUGGAAGAAUUGAAUUAUGGUCAGAAAUUGAACAAUCGAUUAUGGCACAUUGACAAUCGAUUGUUUAUAGGCAGUGAGUAUGAGGACAUAAGAAUUUAUUGAACAAUCGAUUAUAGACAAAUAACAAUCGAUUGUUUGUACCCAGUGAGUAUUUCAUAGUCCAAUGAUUUUACGACAAUCGAUUGUAGACAAGAGACAAUCGAUUGUGAAGAGGCAAAAACUUAUAAGGUCCUGAUAAAUUAUGGAACAAUCGAUUAUGGAAGUUGGAAAAUCGAUUGUGACGAGGCAGAGAGUUAUAAGGACUUGAAUGAUUAUUGGACAAUCGAUUGUGGAAGUGUGACAAUCGAUUAUAUGGUCCAGUGAUAUUAGGACAAUCGAUUGUGGAUAUGAGACAAUCGAUUGUGAGUAGGCAAAAAGAUAUAAGUACCUAAAUGAAUAUUUUGACAAUCGAUUAUGGAAGUAUGACAAUCGAUUUUAGGACAGCAGUGCCAAACGGACAACAAAGACAGCAAAAGACAAUUGAUUUUGCAAUUUGAACACUCGAUUAUAUAUAUCAAAUCUUAUAAAACUGAAUCUAAAUACAGUCGAUUAUUGAUACGGAGAAUCGAUUAUUGUAUACUUGCCAAAACACCUGCACAACACAAGUGUCAGACACAAUCGAUUGUGGCUAGUAAACAAUUGAUUGUAUUACACCAGAAUUAAAUUCCCCCUGUCUUUGAGGAUAUCUCUGCAAAAACACAAUUAAGCGCCUACGACGCUUAAGUUAGUAUUUAUUCAAGAGAUAAAUGCAACCUAAGUGAAUGCAUUAGAUCAACGUAGAGUCAAGGAUUCCGAGUUCAUUUCGAAUACGGAAGAACAACUCUUUAUCUAAAAGGUCUGGUGAAGAUGUCAAUUAAUUGAUGUUUAGUGAUUACGAACUCAAUUUUGAUAUCACCUUUGAGAACGUGAUCUUUCAUACAAUGGUGCCUAAUUUCGAUAUACUUUGGUCUUGAAUUGAAGAAUUGGAUUCUUCGUCAAACUUAUGGUAUUAGUAUUAUCACAUCGAAUAGGAACAUGAAUAAGACUAAGACCAUAAUCCUAAAGUUGCUGUUUCAUCCAAAGGAUUUGUGUGCAACAACUUCCCGUGGCAAUAUAUUCGGCCCCGGUUGUGGACAAAGCGACACUUAACAUGUUUCUUGCUAAGUCAAGAAACUAAGGAGUUACCGAGCAAGUGGCAAGUGCCAUUUGUGCUCUUUGCGGCCUAAUUUGCAUCAAGCGAAAUUAGAGUCGGAAUAGCCAAUUAAUUGGAAUGAAGAUACUUUUGGGAUACCAAAGUCCCACAUAUAAAGAUUCAAAUGGAUAAUUCAUUUUCCGUUUAACCGCAUGACUCCUUUGGACAAGAUUUAUAUCUAACACUUCAAUACAUGCUAAAUAUUAUAUCAAGUCUACUAGCAGUAAGGUAAAGCAAGGAACGAUCAUACCCGGUAUAUCUCGGUGUCAACCUCUUUACCUAUUUCACCUUUGUCACGAUGGUUAGGUAUGCUCGUUGGAUUUGCCAUUGCUUUUGGUGUUGAUAAUUUCAAAUUGAUUCAGCAACUCCAAAACGAAAUUAAGCUUACCCUUCGUUGACAUCUUAAUUUGCUAGUAAUGAGUUUUACAAACUCCUUGCAUAUAGACACAUUAGUUGCUCCAAGAAAAAUAUCAUCAACAUAUAAACUUGUUUUUGAAGUACAGAAAUAAUGGCAUCUAUAAAAUUCUUUUUGAGAUACAACAACAUCAUUAAUACAAAUUUGAAACAUCAACAGAACUUUUUGUCAAAUCAUAGAUUCAUGUUGAAAUGCAAGAAUACCAUCAUCAAAUAAGAAUUCAUGCAGUCUAUUUCCCUUCAAUGAAAAUUUCCCAUCAAAUAAGGCAUACUAAAAGAAAGCAUUCCCCCUUAUUUGAAGCAUAUCGCCUUAACGCUUCUACUUUUGCCACAAAGAUAGAGUAUUAAGACUACUUUCCUUUAUCGAUAAAUCUCCGAGUGACACAAUACAAAUAGGAAAGACAUUGAGGAAUAUGCAUGAUGUCUUUUUCGAUAUACCUCCGAGUGACACAAUACAGAUAGGAAAGACAUUGAGGAAAAUGCAUGAUGAAUAUUGAUAAUGAUUUUCAAGGCAUACAAACUGUUUUAAACAAAACAUAUCAAUUUGACAUUUUUCAAAAUAUACCAAAUGGUGUAAAAAUAAUAAUAGACCCAUUUGUUGGAAAUGCAUCAAAUGUUAUUUUAUUAACAGUGAUACAUAUUGUUAUCUUCAGAAUAUCAAAACAAUUAUCAACCAAAAAAAAAAUCAUGGAUCAAAUAUUCCAAGGAUAUACCAAUCAUUAUUCAACCCAGAAAUAUCAUUUGUCAAAAACAUAAGUGAAAUGUUUUUAAACAAAAAUAUGCUAACAAUUAGAAAGAUUUUCUGAUAAAUAUCAACAGUUAUAAACAACGUUCCUCAAGACAAAAAUAAAAUGUUUUUACUAUGAGCAUGCUAGCAGUUAACAGUUGAAUAGAAUAAACAAUUCAAAAGUUUGUCGAAAGAUACUAAUUGUUAUUUAAGAGGCAUUUAUCAAAAGAAACAAUUGAUGCCAAUAAUAGUUAUCAAGACAUGGAUCAACCAUAGAUGAUUCUAGUAGUUGCUUAACAGCAAAUUUUCAAUACGAGAAUCAACAAAGAUAAUAGAUAUCAAUUGUCAACACGGAUAUCUCAAUUUUCAACACGAGAAUCAAUUGUCAACAUGGAUGUCUCAAUUUUCAACGCAUAUCAAUUAUUUUGAUUGAGCACAUCAACAGUAUCAAAAUGAGAGCCAAAUUAACAGCAAAUAUCUUAAUAUCAAUUAUUGGUACACAUUAGCAAUUCGGUUUUCAUCAAAAAGGAUAACUAACCGAAGUUCCCCUUGAUGCAAUAAGGUGUCGUGCUUGAUUGCAUCUACUACAAUAUUGUAGCUUUCAAGCACACCUGCAAAAAGAACCUAAGGAUAGGUUUUUGGUACCCAAACACCUUUGGGUCCUUGAGGGUUAGGCAAAUAAUGAUUAUAACCAAAAGAUAAAUCCCUCUGUUUCGCAAAACAUAUAGGUGCUAUGUUCGGUUGCAGUAGUGACACACCACAUUCGGGUUGUGCCUAUGCCUAGGUUGUGCCAAAUAUGUUUUAGGUGAUCUAAAGUCGUUCCUAGAAGCGUCGAAAUUUCUAGAGUCCUUUCUAGGUGGUCUAGUGUAGUUUAUUCGAGACUUAUCAACAAAAGUCCUAGAAUUGCUCCUAGGUGGUCUAAAGUGGUUAAUUCUAGACUUGAAGAACCUAGUAUCGUUUCCAGGUGGUCUAGUCUCAUUCCUGGGAUUAUUUCUAUGUUGCCUAAAAUUAUUAAUUCUAGGCUUAUUCGUAUAAUUCCUAGAAUCGUUUCUAGGUGGUCUAAAAUUAUUAGUUCUAGACUCAUUGAAAACCCUAGAAUUAUUUCUUGGUGGUGCAGUAAAAUUUCUAACGUGAUUCUUGUUUUUCUUACGCCUUUUGUUUUUCUUGGGCUUUUUCUUAACCUCUUCAACUACCUUAGGAAUGUCAACACUACGUGAUUCUAAUGUGCUCCUAAGUUCUGCGUUUUCUAAUUGCAAGGGUUCACAAGAUAAGCAUUUAGAACAUUGACCAAUAGAAGAAGCUUCGUUCAUUGCCUUAAUCUUAUCUCUGAGAUCAACAAUGUCAUUUUUCAAAAACUGAUUUUCUUCUUCAAGCUUCUCGUUAUCACGAGUCAAUAUUUCAAAAUCUUUUUCUUUUGAAGAAAGUUGUUUUUCAAAAUCCUUUUCUUUCAACAAAAGUUGUUCUUCAAAAUCCUUUUCUUUUAAAGAGGCAUUUUUCCUUGCGUCUCUGAUAAUCCCGGAAGCUUUAACAAAUUCACUAUAUAGUUCUUCAUAUGCAUUUUGUAAUUCUUCAAACGAGUGAGAGUUAGAAGUACUUNNNNNNNNNNNNNNNNNNNNNNNNNNNNNNNNNNNNNNNNNNNNNNNNNNNNNNNNNNNNNNAAGUACUUACCUCUUCUUCUUCGUCGGCCAUGAAGCAUCGGGCAGUCGGUUCAUCACAUGGACUGUCCACUUUUUGAGGCAUAUUUUCAUACGUGUCCUCAAGCUUAUCCCACAUUUCUUUGGCAGUUUUGCAGUGGGAACUUUUUCGACAAUUUUCCUGAUUCAAAGAACUACACAACAUAUUUAUUGCCUUGGUAUUAUAUUCACUUACCAUGGCUUGCCCAACUUAUGCCGUCAUUUGCUCACCAUACUUGAUGAUUUGCCAUAGACGAAAGUUGUUUGACUGGAUGAAAUUCUCAUCCUAUUCUUCCAAUAUCUGUAGUUGCUCCCGUCAAAUAUUGGAGGUAAGAAGGUGCAAAAUCCUUCACCUGUUCCUGCAAAAGCACUACUAAUAGAAGCCAUAGAACGAUUCUCUCAAACUGUUAAGUUUUACAGAGAGUUAGGCUCUGAUACCAAUUGUUAGAACUAGUGCUUAACGCUAGAGGGGGGGGGGUGAAUAGCGUUUAUAAAAAUUAUGCGGAAUUAAAAAACAAGUUGCUGAAUUGAAAACUGCAGGAAUUAAAUAAGUGCGGAAAUUAAAUGAGAAAGGAAAGAACACACCGAUGUAUACUGGUUCACCACACCUUGUGGUUAGUCCAGUCCCCGAGAGACUCUCUCGAGACUUCCACUAACUUUGUCAAGCUUACGGGUGCUCAACAAACCGUUACAACCUGAGAGCUUGAGUCACACAAGCCUCAGCAAACCGUUAAGUUUACGGGUACCUAACAAACCGUGGAUACCACACCUUAAGACUUCACUUGCUCGAGGCUACCUCACCCCAAGACUUCACUGUUAAGCUUCUGGGUGCCUAACAAACCGUUACAACUUGAGAACUUGAAUCCCACAAGUCUCAAACAACCUUGCUCGAGGAUACCUCACCCCCAAGACUUCACUGUUAAGCUUACGGGUGCCUAACCAACCGUUAAAACCUGAGAACUUGAAUCACACAAGCCUCAGACAAUCUUGCUCGGGGGUACCUCACCCCAAGACUUCUCAAGAAGAAAUACAAUAUUCCCUCUUGCAACAAGUGUAUAAAAUCACUUACUACUCACUUAAACAAUACUCUCUAAACAGAGUGGAUAUGAGUACAAAUAAUCAGCUCAAGAACACAACAACUUAAUCAAGAUUGGCUCUCAAAAAUAAUGAACUUAGAAUGAAAUAAUAUGCAAUU
rnacentral:lncRNA from 1 species